rnacentral:rRNA from 1 species
UACGUAGGCAGCAAGCGUUGUUCGGAGUUACUGGGCGUAAAGGGUGUGUAGGCGGUUCUUUAAGUUUGGUGUGAAAUCUCCCGGCUCAACUGGGAGGGUGCGCCGAAUACUGAGGGACUAGAGUACGGGAGAGGAAAGUGGAAUUCCUGGUGUAGCGGUGAAAUGCGUAGAUAUCAGGAGGAACACCGGUGGUGUAGACGGCUUUCUGGACCGACACUGACGCUGAGGAGCGAAAGCGUGGGGAGCGAACAGG